GACAGACAGAGGUUGCUGUUUGAAACAUUGAGCCCACCAGUUCUUCUCAGAACCCAAAUUCACUCAACAGAGAUCUACCUAAAUCAUUUUGUUGCCAAACUGCAGAAGAUCAAGGAGGCUCGUGAAGAGACGGCAGAGAUUGAACAGAAACUGUCUAAUGAGGACACCAGUGAUGAAUGCGAUGUCUAGAGUCCUCGUUAAUACGCCUUGACAUCAUCACGACAACACUGGCUGUACGCUCUGUAUUGCCCUCAAAGAAAUCGUUGCCAUGCUGGCUGUCCCUAGAUAGGGUUGGCUGAUGCUAGCACAGAUGAUGUAAGCAUGCCAACUAAAGAACAUCUACAAGACAGAUUGCCAGGACAUCUUUGAGGCUGCCAUGCUGGCUGUCCUUAGACAGAGUUAGCUGAUGCUAGCACAGAUGAUGAAAGCAUGCCUUCAAAAGAACAUCGGUGAAGG